GAGAUUUACAAAAACAACCUAUAGAGAUAAUAACAUAAUACUUAUCAUGAUUCCAUAUGAAAUUGGUAAUAGGCACACAUUAUAAAUCCAUAUUCAAUAAAUCAAACAAUAACCUUCCCUUUUAUCGACCUACUGGUAUCCAUAAGAGUUCAUAGGGAUGUCCCUGCUACGCGUGAACCCUUUCCUUUAACAUUCUCAAUUAAAGGGCCGUCUCCAUACCUUAUCUGGUAUGAGCACCAAAUCACUAAACUUCAAUACCUCAUUCGGUUUGAAGGUGAAACGGGUCGUCCCUAUACCCCGUCCGAUAUGAACGUCAGAUUAUCAAGUCUCGAUACCCCGUCUGAUAUGAGACAACAUUCAUAGUAG
rnacentral:lncRNA from 1 species